CCCUUCGUGGUGUAGUGGUCAGCACGCUCGACGCGUAACCGAGAGGUCCGUGGUUCGAUUCCCGGCGAAGGCG
rfam:Stegodyphus mimosarum contig37019, whole genome shotgun sequence.